rnacentral:rRNA from 1 species
UCGAUUCCCUUAGUAGCGGCGAGCGAAACGGGAAGAGCCCAAACCAACAAGCUUGCUUGUUGGGGUUGUAGGACACUCUAUACGGAGUUACAAAGGACGACAUUAGACGAAUCAUCUGGAAAGAUGAAUCAAAGAAGGUAAUAAUCCUGUAGUCGAAAAUGUUGUCUCUCUUGAGUGGAUCCUGAGUACGACGGAGCACGUGAAAUUCCGUCGGAAUCUGGGAGGACCAUCUCCUAAGGCUAAAUACUCUCUAGUGACCGAUAGUGAACCAGUACCGUGAGGGAAAGGUGAAAAGCACCCCGGAAGGGGAGUGAAAUAGAACCUGAAACCGUGUGCUUACAAGUAGUCAGAGCCCGUUAAUGGGUGAUGGCGUGCCUUUUGUAGAAUGAACCGGCGAGUUACGAUUUGAUGCAAGGUUAAGCAGUAAAUGUGGAGCCGUAGCGAAAGCGAGUCUGAAUAGGGCGUUUAGUAUUUGGUCGUAGACCC